rnacentral:misc_RNA from 1 species
AAGUCGUAACAAGGUUUCCGUAGGUGAACCUGCGGAAGGAUCAUUACCAUGUUUCCGAGCUGUGCCUUUGGCCGGCUCGAUUUCACCCUUGUCUUGUCUACCCUGUUUCCUCGGUGAUGGUAAAGACCUGCCAGAGGACAUUUUUAAACCAUGUACUUGCAAUCAGCGUCAGAAAACAUAAUAAUUAAAACUUUCAACAACGGAUCUCUUGGUUCUG